rnacentral:rRNA from 1 species
ACGGGAGGCAGCAGUGGGGAAUAUUGCACAAUGGGGGAAACCCUGAUGCAGCGACGCCGCGUGAGUGAAGAAGUAUUUCGGUAUGUAAAGCUCUAUCAGCAGGGAAGAAAAUGACGGUACCUGACUAAGAAGCCCCGGCUAACUACGUGCCAGCAGCCGCGGUAAUACGUAGGGGGCAAGCGUUAUCCGGAUUUACUGGGUGUAAAGAGAGCGUAGACGGUAAUGCAAGUCAGAAGUGAAAGCCCAGGGCUCAACCUUGGGACUGCUUUUGAAACUGUAAUACUAGAGUGCAGGAGAGGUAAGUGGAAUUCCUAGUGUAGCGGUGAAAUGCGUAGAUAUUAGGAGGAACACCAGUGGCGAAGGCGGCUUACUGGACUGUAACUGACGUUGAGGCUCGAAAGCGUGGGGAGCAAACAGGAUUAGAUACCCUGGUA